AACGCACAAACUUUUUUUGAAUUCCUUCAAUUCGUAUUAUUUGAAUCAAAAUGUAUCUGAUUCCAAUUUAAAUUAGGCAGGUUCAAAUCACCGACUACAACCACGUCAUCAUUUUGUCCUAUACAUUCUGCAGAUGAUUCAACGAACGAGCAGAAAGAGCGAUAAUGAUCAACACUAGAGGUAGGUGGAUUAUAUCCGCAACACAAAUAGAGCGACCCGGUGGCUGCUGAAAGUUUAACACAAAGCGCUGCAUUGUUCUCAGCCACUGCGUGUGCUGUGCUGGCAAUAUGAUUGUGGACUGCAAUCAAAACACCACCGCCGGUUUUUGAGCAGUCAACAAAGUUGUAGAAGCCAAUGAGCACGAAGUUGAAACUGGUUCAGGUGUUUGAUUAUUACUGUGUACUGGAAAGCGGUGUAAUAAAGUUGUCAGAAGUGGGCUCACUAUCCUUACAUUCGGCUCGAAAUGGCAUCGACAUAGGUUCAUUCACAAAUUCCCGA